rnacentral:rRNA from 1 species
UACGGGGGGGGCAAGCGUUGUUCGGAAUUACUGGGCGUAAAGGGCUCGUAGGCGGCCAACUAAGUCAGACGUGAAAUCCCUCGGCUUAACCGGGGAACUGCCUCUGAUACUGGAUGGCUUGAGAUUGGGAGAGGGAUGCGGAAUUCCAGGUGUAGCGGUGAAAUGCGUAGAUAUCUGGAGGAACACCGGUGGCGAAGGCGGCAUCCUGGACCAACACUGACGCUGAGGAACGAAAGCCAGGGGAGCGAACGGG